AUGAUAUGCUUCUUCGCAGUCGAGUGGCACUUUGUAGACCGUGUGGCAAGACAAUUUGGAAAAAGACAAGGUAUUCCAAUUGAGGAGAGCAAGGAGGAAAUGCUAUCUCUGCAUCGGUUCGAUCGAAGGAACAAUCAGGAUAUAUCGGAUUGGGCAAACAAACACCGUGCGUGGAUAGAAAUUUGGAAUCAAAGAGACACGUUAGGGCAAUCAGAGAAUAGACCUUACAAUCAGUCAGCAUAUCAGAAGUAUCAAGUGUGGUAUGCGGAUCGUUACCGGUUAAAGCUGAAGCCAGGUUGGACUCACGAAGAGUGGUCGGAGUUGGUGUCUGAAGACCCGGAGACUGCAGAAGGUUAUCAUACCUUCAACACGGCUAUGAGAGACACCAGAGGGGCUCAUGUUGACUACGCACCGAUGCAUGACGAAAUGGUAGUCUGUUUGACCUAUUCUAACAUACUUGCAUCAUGUUGUCUUCUUUCAAAUACAUAA
rnacentral:rRNA from 1 species